rnacentral:hammerhead_ribozyme from 1 species
GUCCAGCAGACGAGUCCCACGUAGGACGAAACGCACCUCCUGGAU